AUGUGCUAAACAUGCUUUAAUACAAUUUAAAAUUGUACAUAGAGCUCAUAUGUCUAAAGAUAAACUUGCUCGAUUCUAUUCUCAUAUUAACCCUCUAUGUGACAGAUGUCAUUUAGCAGUGGCCUCAUUGACCCAUAUGUUUUGGUCAUGUCCCACUUUACAUAAUUAUUGGAAGGAUAUAUUUACUACUAUUUCCUCAAUUUGGAAUAUAGAUUUACAACCUCAUUUUAUUACUGCAAUUUUUGGCAUACCAAAUGAAGAUGGCAAUCAGUUUUCCCCCUCAAUCAGACGAAUGAUUGCUUUUGUAACAUUAAUGGCCAGAAGGUCUAUACUACAAAAUUGGAAAGAAGUAAAUCCUCCUACUACAUUUCAGUGGCUUUCUCAAACUAUUUCUUAUCUGAGUUUGGAAAAAAUUAGAAGCACUAUUUUUGACUCAUCAAUUAAAUUUGAAGAAACUUGGAGACCGUUUAUUCGACAUUUUCAUAUGAAUUAAUUUGGCCUUUUCCGGACCUUUCUGCUUAUUCAUGUUCAGGUAUGGAGUUCCGGAGUUCUUUGACACUAUCUUAUACUUGUAAACUGUUGUUAUUGCCUAUGUUAGUUUAGUUUAGUGUUUUAUUUUUUUUUAAUAUAUAUUUUUUCUCACAUAUUUUUUAAUAUUUUUUUUUCUUUUUUAAUGGUUAUUUGUUUUUUUUUCAUAUAAUCAUGUGGACUUGAUUAAGGUACUUUCUUUUGUUGAUGUUUAGUAGGAUAUUAUUAUCUUAUUAUCAAUGUGAUUUCAAGUCUAUUGUAUUUAUAAUUUACUUAUUAUUAUGUUAUUUUUUUUGUGUAUAUGUGAAAAUCAAUAAAAAGAUUGAAAAGGACUGCUUAAUAAUCCUGGAAAUGACAACCCAUUGCUUAGUCAUUCUGAAUUUUGGCCUUUUAGCCGAGGGCCCGAAAAUGUACAAGACACAUAUACACUCAACCCCCUUGAGCUAUUAAAUAACCAGACAACAUAAAACUGGUAUAUCUGGUACAUUCUAUCUGGGACAAGAAUCUGGGCAAAUCGGGCAAAGACUGAGAGCCACAACUGGCUUUAACUCUCCUGCCUUCUCUGUAGUGUUGAUAAGCAGAAGGGGAGAGUUAUCCAGUGAGAAGGAUGCCACCUGAGGUGGAUGGUGGGCACGGACUGGCCCCAAAGGUAGGCUCACAGACUCUCAGGUAAAUCGAGAGGAGAAUACCUGGGAGGGUGAAGAGAGGGGGAACUCAGAGUAGGGGACCCUAAAGUGAACCAGGAUCCUGCUCUGCUUAUCUGAUGGGAGCAUGUUCCCUCCAUGUACUGCAUAUUUAAAGAACUUCACCAAUCAUGGCCCCACAUUUUUACUACUUCCCGAAGAGAGUGGAUUGAUACUGAAGAAAGGAUACCUGAUUUCACAAAACGUGCCUGUCAAUGACCUUUAUAUUUAUUCAUUAUUUUGGGAAAAUGGCAUUGCUUGCAAGGGCAGCAUCUAUUGCCUAUCACUCAUGGCCUUACAAAGCUGCUACUGGACUGCCUUCCUGAACUGAACUCUUUCUAUCAAAUGUGCUGCCAUCUUCUGGUAAGAAAGCACCAUUAAGUGGCAGCUGUUUGCUUGCAGCUCUUAGGAAACAUCAAAAUAUUCCCAUUUAGGAUGACUACAGCUGAAAUCCACACUCAAAGCUAUGGAACAGUACUUCAGUAACCAGCAUCGUUUUAAGACAUUUUUCAAAAAAAUCUAUCGAUACUCAAAAUCGACAAACCUCGGACAGCAAGCUCGGCUCGCAAGUGCAGUUCCUCUUCAAGAAAACAAAAGCAGGGAUACUGUGCUGGUCCAACAGGUAAGAUUGAAAUGCAGAGGCCUUACACCUCCGCUCCUGACUAUCCUGCUGAUGAAGUACAGCAAGAAAGCAAAGCCAAAGACCUCAGAGCAAGAUUUCUGUACCACAUCUGGGACUGCUGUGCAUCUUGCUUCAUGGAAACAUGGUUAUCCACUGUCAUUUCAGAUGCAGCACUGCAGUUCAAUGGCUUCAGAAUUCUCCACAAAGACAGGACAGUUCAGUCAUUUAAAAGCAGAGGAAAAAGCUGCCGAAUGUUGUAAAUUCAGCCAGCACCAUCAUGGGCACGAGUCUCCCCAACAUCCAGAACACCUUCGAUGCCUUAAAAAGUAGCAUCCAUCAUUAAGGACCACUAUCACCCAGGACAUGUCCUUUUCUCAUUGCUACCAUCAAGGAGGUACAGGAGUCAGAAGGCACACACUCUACGUGUCAGGAAAGAGCUUUUCCCCUCUGCCAUCAGAUUUCUGAAUAGACAAUGAACCCAUGAACACUACCUCAGUAUUUUCCCUUCUCAGUUUGCACUACUUAAUUUAAUUUUCUUUUUUUAAAUAUAUCAUUCUUACUAUAAUGUGUAGUUUUUUAUUAUUAUAAACCUACUGCUGCUGCAAAACAACAAAUUUCAUGACAUACGCUGAUGCACCGUCAAUAACUCACUCUGAGACGUAAGGCGAGAUAUCGGCUUUUAUUGACUGGAAGAAGGAACAAGCAGUGAGUGACCGCCAUACUGCAUCCUGGAGACCGGGCUCAGGCCUCAAUCGCCUUUAUACAGGGGUCUGUGGGAGGAGCCACAGGAGCAGUCAGCAGGGGGCGUGUCCAGACAGGUAUAUGUAGUUCAUCACAUACGCCAAUAAUUUUAAACCUGAUUCUGUAUGUGACGGGUGAGUAGGGAGUUGCAGGACUCAGACCCAGCAACUAUUAUGGGCUAGAAGUAUCUCUCAAAAUCAGGAGUAUGUGUGAAGAAAAAUCCACAGAUGGUGCUUUAGUAUGUACCUAUUGCCCCUGUCUUUGGCGGUACUGGUCUUAUGUUUGACAGGAGCAGUUGGAGCAGCCUAGGUGAGUCACUGUAAUGCAUUUUCUGGAUGGCGCACACUGGAAGCUGCUGUGUGCCAAAGGCAGAGCGAAUGAACGUUAGGAGAGUGAACAGCUCAUGUGAGCCGCUUUGUCUGGAAGUCGUUGGGCUUUGUGAUUGGCCUUGCACUCAUCCAUCCAAGUAGAGGAUGCUCCAGCACACUCCCAAAUUCGGCCUUUUUAAUGCGGCAAAGGUUUUGCUGGGUCAGACGCUGUGCCACUCUCUUCAGGAUGUCCAGCUUCUGACCUGCUCUACAAUGACGACUCCCAGGAUGUUGAUGAUGGGGACAAGGUAAAUUCUAACUGCACAAUUAGCUGCUCCCUGAAAGGUUUAAACUCUUGUCUUCACAGACAUGUCCCACUUGGUGGCGCAAUAAUAUCAGCACCGGAUUCUGGAGCGAAGGUUCCCGAGUUCGAAUCCAAGUCGGGUUGAGCAUCGAGCUAGCAACUUGGCCUCGUAAAAACAACAAUAGCUUGCUACGGAAACACUGUCAAAAGAUGGUGCCCCGAUAACUCCACUGGCGAGUUAAGGGCUAUUCUUCUUCUCUUCUCACAGACAUAGGCCUCACUGUGGAAACAUCAGCAAUGUGAAUUGUCAUGAAUUCGCAUUGAGAGGGUCUGCAGGUAGGUCAACAAUUAUAACACUUCACUGCCAUGGAGAACCUGCUUGGAUAUGAGAUCAAAAUGCAUCUCCUUGUUCUGGCCUAUGGUGGUAAAAAAAAACAUGAUGUCACAGCAAUAAUCUUUAAAGAUAUAUUAAGUUUUGUAGUUGUAUGGGAUACUGGUGAGGCCACACCUGGCAACGUUGGAUGUAGUCUGAACAAGAUAGUCCAGCUAAUUCCCGUAUGAGAGACUAGACAGGUUGGGUUUGUACUCUUUGGAAUUUAGAAGAAUGAAAGGUGAAUGUUCAGAUAUACAAGAUCUUGGGGGGGGGGGUGGGCUUGACAGUGUUGAUGUUGAGGUGUUCUCACCAGAGGGGAAGUCUUGAACAAAGGAAUUUAAAAUUGAGGCGCUUCAAAAUUUCUUCUCUCAGUAGGUAUUGAAUGUCUGGAAUUCUCGGUCCUCAAGUGUUGUUUGAGGCCAGACAAUGAAGUAUAUUUAAAGUGGAGAUAGGUAAAAAUUUGAAAGAUUGAGCAAUCGAGGGCACUGGCAUAGAAGAGAAGUUGAUGUCAGCAUUAUCAUACUGAAUGGUGGGUAGUGUACAGAGACAAAAUGGCCUACUCCUGCUCCUAAUUUGUGUCCAAUCCUCUCCAUCUGCUGGGCUAGAUGGGAAGGCCCAAGGCACAGGGAAAGAUUACUGCAGAAGGUGCAAGAUGAAAAUAUGGUUGAGAUUGAUGUUGCAUUUCGAGUGUGCUGCGUAGUUCUGGAGGGUGACAUGCUGACAACGGGAAAUUUCUCCUUGAAGUAGGUUCUUUUGAAGACCCUGACCUGGAGUUACAUGCUCACCAUGGUUCUUUGUGGGAACGGGACCUGCUCGCGGGGUUUCAUGACUGGCCGUUCCUCGGCAUGCCAAGAGCACGGCCUAAUAGCUUCACUCGCUUUCACAGGUCCGAGAUUUCAUGACUCUGGAGACAGGGGUAUCGGAGGUCGGUAUCUGGGCAGGAGAUUGGUGUGUGGUGGAAGUCGGAAGAUCUAAGGCCAUGUGCCUGGACACCUGAGAUCUUUGGGCAUAGAGUUUGGAAAAAGUGAUGCAAUGGACUUUUAACAUCAUAAACCAGCAAGUUGUUUGUUAUGCCUCCCCUCUUGCUGUGAAACAGACAUCUCUUUCUACCUUAUUAGGAGAGGGAGAGCUUGUGGUAUGUCAAAUACUGGGUGAACGAGUAGUCUUUGGAGUACUGCAAGUCUGUAUCUUUCCAGCACGCUUGAGUGCUUGGUAGUGG